rnacentral:rRNA from 1 species
GAUGAACGCUAGCGGCAGGCCUAACACAUGCAAGUCGAGGGGUAACUAGAGUGAUAGCAAUAUUACUUUGGCUAGACCGGCGCACGGGUGCGUAACACGUAUGCAACCUACCUUAUACUGGGGAAUAACUUCGAGAAAUCGGCGCUAAUACCCCAUAACACUGCGGAGAGGCAUCUCUUUGCAGUUAAAGCUCCGGCGGUAUAAGAUGGGCAUGCGUCCAACUAGCUAGUUGGUGAGGUAACGGCUCACCAAGGCUACGAUUGGUAGGGGUUCUGGGAGAAUGGUCCCCCACACUGGUACUGAGACACGGACCAGACGCCUACGGGAGGCAGCAGUGAGGAAUAUUGCGCAAUGGACGAAAGUCUGACGCAGCCAUGCCGCGUGCGGGAUGACGGCCCUAUGGGUUGUAAACUGCUUUUGUACGGGAAUAAACCCUUCUACGUGUAGGAGGCUGAAGGUACCGUAAGAAUAAGCGCCGGCUAACUCCGUGCCAGCAGCCGCCGCCG